GAUCCUGGCUCAGGAUGAACGCUAGCUACAGGCUUAACACAUGCAAGUCGAGGGGCGAGCGGGAUUGAAGCUUGCUUCAAUUGCCGGCGACCGGCGCACGGGUGAGUAACGCGUAUCCAACCUUCCGUACACUCAGGGAUAGCCUUUCGAAAAGAAAGAUUAAUACCUGAUGGUAUGAUGAGAUUGCAUGAUAGCAUCAUUAAAGNUUUAUCGGUGUACGAUGGGGAUGUCCG
rnacentral:rRNA from 1 species